UUCCCGGCCGUAAAAAGCUCCCUGUCCCCGGCAGCCUCAGCCCGCAUCCCCCCUUGGCUCGGGCAUCCCCACCUCUCCACCCUGGCUUGAGCUGCGCUGCGGUCCAGCAAAGCCAGGUUGGCCUCUGGGCGGGGCCCCGGCUGAGCAUCUUCGCAGCCUUGGGCAGGGGGGCGAGGGGGGUGUGUGUGUGCAAGGCUUUCCCUGGCUUGGGGAGUAGGGGGAGCCUGUUGGAGCUCUUGGAGGCGGUGCCCUCGCCCUCCACCCCGGUCCGGAGAUGAGCUUCUUUGGGUUCGGACAGAGCGCCGAAUUGGAACUGGUCCUGAGCGAUGCCGAGAGCCGGCGCCGGGCGGAACAUAAGACGGAGGAGGGCAAGAAGGAGAAAUACUUCCUUUUUUAUGACGGCGAAACCGUGUCCGGGAGGGUCAUCUUAACCCUCAAGCAGCCCAACAAACGCCUGGAACACCAGGGCAUCAAGGUGGAAUUCAUUGGCCAGAUUGAAUUAUACUACGAUCGAGGGAACCAUCAUGAAUUUGUGUCUCUGGUGAAAGAUUUGGCCCGUCCUGGCGAAUUCACCCAAUCCCAAACUUUUGACUUUGAAUUCACUCAUGUGGAGAAACCGUACGAAUCCUACACUGGGCAGAACGUGAAGCUCAGGUACUUCCUCCGGGCCACCGUGAGCCGCAGAUUAAAUGACGUGGUGAAAGAGAUGGACAUUGUAGUGCACACGCUUAGCACGUAUCCGGAGCUCAACUCCUCCAUUAAGAUGGAGGUGGGGAUUGAAGAUUGCCUGCACAUUGAGUUUGAGUACAAUAAAUCCAAGUACCACUUAAAAGAUGUGAUUGUAGGGAAAAUCUACUUCCUCCUUGUCCGGAUCAAGAUCAAACACAUGGAGAUUGACAUCAUCAAGAGGGAAACCACUGGAACAGGGCCCAACGUCUACCAUGAAAACGACACCAUUGCGAAAUACGAGAUUAUGGACGGGGCUCCUGUGAGAGGAGAGUCCAUCCCGAUUCGGCUCUUCCUGGCUGGCUAUGAACUGACGCCUACCAUGAGGGACAUCAAUAAGAAGUUCUCGGUGCGCUAUUACCUCAAUCUGGUGCUAAUUGAUGAGGAGGAACGACGUUAUUUUAAACAGCAGGAGGUGGUGUUGUGGCGCAAAGGGGACAUUGUGAGGAAAAGCAUGUCCCACCAGGCCGCCAUCGCUGCGCAGCGCUUCGAAGGCACAUCGUCCCAGACGGAGAGCAGGACCCCCAGCCAGGCUUCGGAGAACAACGGGCGGCAGUGAAGGCCCUCAAAGGAGCACCGAGAGCGCCUCUUCCACCAGAAACUUGCAAACGCAAAAUUAUCUGUCAGGUUGUCUUUCUGUCUGUGUGUGUUUCGUCUUUUACCUUGAGGACUAGCAGCUUAACAGGACGGGGAAGGGGGUUGGCGCACAUAAAUGGAGUAUGGCUGUUUCUCUCUACAUUCAGUAUUUAUGGAUAAGCUUAAAGGGGCAGGACAGAUGGGGUUUUUGGAUGUUGUAUUGGAAGAGGACUGUGGAAAAAUAUUUUUUUUAAGAGAGUCCCGUUUUCUCUCUAUUGGAAGCUGUGUGCUCCAGCGUGACUGCUGUCAGAGGAGUUCAACCAUAUAUUUAGCAAUCAUCUGUGAAUAUACCAUGGGUCAAAUGCUCCCCAGACUUUGGAUGACUUAGACGCACGAGCAGCCACAGGGAGUGUAUGUGUGUGUACAAAGCAGCUCCCGUUCUUAUGUUGUUACCCAAAUGAAGCAGGUUACUUAAUUCCUGGCCUUUGCACAUUGGGGUCAUGUUGUGCAUGACGUUAUCACAGCUUGUACCAGAUGCCGAGAAAUUUCUUUGUAUUUUAUUUUCUGGAAGAGGCUGAGCAUACUUUGCUCCUAAAGAUUUUAUCUUUAAAAGUUUUAUCCCUUGAAAAGAAGGCCCUGCCUUUGGAAAGGAUAGCCCUGUGUUCCUGCAUGAGUCUGUGUUCUGAAAGCACCUUCUAAAUGAGAAAAACAAUUUGAGGAUUGAGCAUCGUGAUGGACAAACCACUACACCUGAAAAGAAAGCGACGGAAACGCCUGAAUCAUUUUGGGAGACAGUGGAGAACCUCCUUGUUGAUCCUGACACAUACUUGGCAAACAUCUAUCUUAAAUUUUUUCAAGUUUGUAAGCAGUCUUGGGUGAAAACACUUCUUUCCAACAGCUUCCCCUAGGCCAGAGGUUGCCUACCCCUGCCCUAGGCUGAUCUUUGCAGAGAGAGGGAGCAAAGCAGGAAAUCCAAACAUUUUUGCUUAAAUUGUGAAGUUGAUUAAAACGCACGCUCCUUGCUUCUGUCAAAGUUGUCCUUUUAAGCCAGAGAUGGGGAACGAUGACCCCCUUUAUGACUUGUGGACUUCAACUCCCAGAAUUCCUGAGUCAGCACGGCUAGCUCAGGAAUUCUGGGAGUUGAAGUCCACAAGUCAUAAAAGGGCCAUCGUUCCCCACCUGUUUUAAGCUCUGUCAAAUUUACUUCCUUUCUCCCGAUUCUUCCAAGAAUGCGGUUGCUCCUCAUUCUUGGGAUUCGUAAAGUCUGUGCUCGAAAUGGAAGGAUCACUUACCCUCAUCUCAGGAGUUUCUCUGUUGCUUCUCUGCCUGAUAUACUCUGCCGAAUUUGUUUCCUGCUUGGACGGUGUGGCUCCGCUGGGACCAUCCAGCUGGUCUUGUCAGAAAACCUGAUUUUGGAGGAAAAUAGCCAAAAGAGUGGAUCAUGGACUCAAUUGACUUCUGUGAGCAAUGGGCCACCAGCCACCUAACUUAGCAAUGUUGCCAGACUGGUGAUUGUUCUCCUUCAUGUCUGGCCCCAAGACUUUUACAUUGCUUUCUAAGUUCAUUAGAAAGAUGGAAAUUCAAUGGCCUGCAAGAGAGAUCUUCCACUGUUCCAUGCAGAGAAAGCAAUUUUUCAACUUUACCUGAAGAUGUCAGCAUAUGGAAUGAACUGAGUGCCUCUUAGUAUAGUGCAAGCUGAAUUUUCUUGGUUUUUUUUCCUUUUCAAAAGGAAUUAAUCAUAACAGAAGAGAAUAACAGAGUUGGAAGGGAACCUCAGAGGUCUUCUAGUCCAACCCCCUGCUGCAGCAGGAAAUCCUAUGCCAUUUCAGACAAAUUAAGGUCAGUUGCGGCCAGUCUUGUCUGAUUCUUAUUCCCUGCCUCCAUUUUGUGAUUAGUAAGGCACUUUCUGGCCUGAAGGUGGAUUGAAAAUCAUGGAUUGCAGUUUGCAAAUAUUCUCAAAGUGUGUGAAAUCAAUCCAUGUUCCCUCCUGUUUCUGUCUCAUUUAGCAGCAUGGUCAGUACUGUCUUGGUCCAUUUGUGGCCUUCAGCACUUUUAGGAUUCCCCUCAUAUUUUAUUUUAUUUUUUAUUUUACAUUAUGCGUGCUCUUAAAUCGGGGUGGAUUGUGUGGAGACUUUGUGGCUUCAAUUCAGCAACAAAGGUGCGGGUUUUUCCACCAAUUUGGGGAAAGAAAACAAAUGAACUGCGUUAAGGCUGCUGAUAAACUGACUUCAACUUAGUUGCCUUUUGUUGUUAAAGUAUUUGUGUCUAAGGUGGUUGCCUGAUCCUGCCAUACGGGAUGAGAAUUAGAAUUGUGAAAUUCUUCCUCUAGAAAAGAAAUUACACUUCUACUUGCUAUACUAUUUAUAAACUACUUGUAGUAUACGAUCUAAAUAUACAUUGAAUAAAUAACCGAAAGGUAAGUAGCUAAUUGUUUUAAGAAUUCUGGACCAAUCUUACUCCUCAUCACUUUUCACAGAAGUGUCUACGAAAACAUGGAACGAUACAACAGUCUCACUUUUUGCUUUGCAAUAAAGUCAGGUUUCUAGUCGUCAUGGAUGUCAGCAUCUAAAAUUUGUCGGUCGUACCCUGUUCAGAUUUUCAGAAGUAGCAAUUUGAGCAUGGAAAAUUUCCAGGGGUAUGUAAGUGAGUUUUUUCCCCUCUUGGCCAGAAACAUGAGAAACUGGGUGUUUGAGGACCAAUGUUGGAAAGUAACUCAAGCUUUCUGCAGCUGGACUCUUCUGAAUAAAGGACACUAUUUUGAACUCGGAACAUUUUCAGAAUGAUUGAAGCCUCCCAUUUUUAUAUUCAAAA